rnacentral:rRNA from 1 species
GAUGAACGCUGGCGGCGUGCUUAACACAUGCAAGUCGAACGGUAAAGCCCAGCUUGCGGGGUGGACUCGUGGCGAGCGGGUGAGUAACACGCGAGUGACCUCCGCUUAACUCUGGGGUAUACCUGGGGGAAUGGGUCUAAUACAGGGUAGGGGCGUCCACGGUACGGGGGGGGGUGGAGAGAUUUAUCGGUUUUGGGUGGACUCGCGGCGUAUCAGCUUGUUGGUGGGGUAAUGGCUCACCAAGGCGACGACGGGUAGCCGGCCUGAGAGGGUGACCGGCCACACUGGGACUGAGACACGGCCCAGACUCCUACGGGAGGCAGCAGUGGGGAAUAUUGCACAAUGGGCGCAAGCCUGAUGCAGCGACGCCGCGUGAGGGAUGACGGCCUUCGGGUUGUAAACCUCUUUCAGUAGGGAAGAAGCGAAAGUGACGGUACCUGCAGAAGAAGCACCGGCUAACUACGUG